AUUGAACGCUGGCGGCAGGCCUAACACAUGCAAGUCGAGCGGAUGAGAGGAGCUUGCUUCUCGAUUCAGCGGCGGACGGGUGAGUAAUGCCUAGGAAUCUGCCCGGUAGUGGGGGACAACGUUUCGAAAGGAACGCUAAUACCGCAUACGUCCUACGGGAGAAAGCAGGGGACCUUCGGGCCUUGCGCUAUCAGAUGAGCCUAGGUCGGAUUAGCUAGUUGGUGAGGUAAUGGCUCACCAAGGCGACGAUCCGUAUCUGGUCUGAGAGGAUGAUCAGUCACACUGGAACUGAGACACGGUCCAGACUCCUACGGGAGGCAGCAGUGGGGAAUAUUGGACAAUGGGCGAAAGCCUGAUCCAGCCAUGCCGCGUGUGUGAAGAAGGUCUUCGGAUUGUAAAGCACUUUAAGUUGGGAGGAAGGGUUGUAGAUUAAUACUCUGCAAUUUUGACGUUACCGACAGAAUAAGCACCGGCUAACUCUGUGCCAGCAGCCGCAGUAACAC
rnacentral:rRNA from 1 species